CGCCUACGGGAGGCAGCAGUGAGGAAUAUUGGUCAAUGGGCGGGAGCCUGAACCAGCCAAGUCGCGUGAGGGAAGACGGUCCUAUGGAUUGUAAACCUCUUUAGGCGGGGAGCAAUGCCGGGCACGCGUGUCCGGAGGGGGAGUACCCGCAGAAUAAGCAUCGGCUAACUCCGUGCCAGCAGCCGCGGUAAUACGGAGGAUGCGAGCGUUAUCCGGAUUUAUUGGGUUUAAAGGGAGCGUAGGCCGGCUUUUAAGUCAGCUGUGAAAGUCCGCGGCUCAACCGUGGAAUUGCAGUUGAAACUGGG
rnacentral:rRNA from 1 species